CACAGUCUUGGGAAGCAAGACCAGGGCUCCUGAAGCCCCAGGCAGAAAAGGGAAGCAGACGUUUGGUCCCGACGCCUGUGAACACACAUCUCUCCUCGGACGGCUGCCUCUGAGUCAUGGAAAGGGAAGCUGGAAAGUGUCACAUUCCCUGCCUGAAAUGAGGAGUGAGGGGGAGAAAAUAGCAGGAGAACCAACACAAGGAAAUGAACAUUUAUCAUUUCAAAGUGGACAAGAAACAUACAUCCUUGCUGUUUGUCUGGACUUUUUCAUGGUGAUCUUGGGAGCAGCGGUCCAACGAAUACUGUCAAUUUCCUUUGGAAACUGGGCUGCUUCUGCAUUCCUUUGGGGUUCAGAGUUCUCAGUAUCCUGUUCUGUUCGCUGUCACCCUGUUAGCUCCCUGCUAAUCAUUUCUUCUGUGGCCGCCUUAGUUCAU